CAACCGGCUUUUUUCAAAGCUAUCCCAAUGAUACUGAAAGGAAGAA
rfam:Amphimedon queenslandica AMPQTscaffold_13504_Cont867, whole genome shotgun sequence.